rnacentral:rRNA from 1 species
CCUACGGGGGGCAGCAGUGAGGAAUAUUGGUCAAUGGACGAGAGUCUGAACCAACCAAGUAGCGUGAAGGAUGACUGCCCUAUGGGUUGUAAACUUCUUUUAUAUGGGAAUAAAAUGUUCCACGUGUGGGAUUUUGUAUGUACCAUAUGAAUAAGGAUCGGCUAACUCCGUGCCAGCAGCCGCGGUAAUACGGAGGAUCCGAGCGUUAUCCGGAUUUAUUGGGUUUAAAGGGAGCGUAGGUGGAUUGUUAAGUCAGUUGUGAAAGUUUGCGGCUCAACCGUAAAAUUGCAGUUGAAACUGGCAGUCUUGAGUACAGUAGAGGUGGGCGGAAUUCGUGGUGUAGCGGUGAAAUGCUUAGAUAUCACGAAGAACUCCGAUUGCGAAGGCAGUUCACUGGACUGCAACUGACACUGAGGCUCGAAAGUGUGGGUAUCAAACAGGAUUAGAUACCCGUGUAGUC